UCCAUCAUCCUUUUUUUAAAAAGAUUUUAUGGGUUAUAUACAUUUUUUAAUUAUUGAAGUAUAGUUGACAUACAAUGUUGUAUUAGUUUCGGGUGUACAAUAGAGUGAUUGGACAGGUCUGUACAUUAUGCCAUGCUCACCACCGUUAAGUGUAGCUACCAUCUGUCACCAAACAUUGUUAUUACAAUAUUAUUGACUAUAUUCCCGAUGCUGUGCUUUUCAUCUCCGUCACUUAUUUAUUUUAUAACUGGCAGUUUGUACCUCAAUCCCCUCCAUCUAUUUUGCCCUUCCCCUCACUGCCCUCCUGUUUUAUGGGUUUUAGUUACUGCGAUUUAUUUAGAUGCUGGCAUAAAAUUUCACGUUUUAACUUUUAAAAUGUUACUGACACUCUAAUAGGAAAUUUGUAAAUUUGUCAUAAAUUAUCAGAAAAUUUGCCUAUAGGUUUUAACAGGUCACAGUGUAUUUCUUUAGCCUAAAGAGCUCAUUUCUUUCUUUCUCCAAAACUUUAGCUAGACCUUUGCUAGAAAUUCCAAGGCAUUGGGCUGGAUUUUUUACCCAUUGAAAAAUUAGAACCUAAUUAAAUCUUCUCUUUCAGGUACCACAGUGCUUGUUUUCCUAUGUAAUAUGGGGGGUUAAUUUUUUCAUUUAAGUAUUUUCACUGAAAAUUUAAUUGUAAAUGGAAGGGACUAUCAUGAUUUUUCGUAAAAUGCUCUCAGAAAUCUUUUAAGGAAGAUGUGGGUAUUAUUGGAUAUUCUCAAUAUAUCAACAAUUAUAUUUGUGGCUGACCCUCUAACUAGCUGAUAAAAAUUGCUUUUAGGAGGUACAUCUCGUAUUGGAGAAGUAGGAUAGUAAUGGGUCUGACAUAAAUGUUUCCUUGCCUACAUCUGUUCAAUCUAAUACCUAUUGCCCGUUUUCACAGAGCUCCUUGCCUUCAGCUGUUCGUUUACUCAGCAUGUCCGUGUUGAGUGCUCAUAGGUGCCAGGCACUGUUGUGACGCCGGGCUGUGCUGAGGGCAGGAGUGAAAGACACAAACGCCCCGUUCUUGUGGAACUUGCAUUUCGUCAACUUGGCCAUGAGGGGGCGCUCUUCCGGGCCCAAUCUACCCAGUGCCGCAGUAUGUUUAGAAAACAAAUCAGCCGGCCCAGAGAGCCUACAGUUUCAUGUGGCUUGGCCAAACCAAGAUGACAGAAGUCCCCCACAACAACACUUGGGUCUCCCAUUAGUACACUGUGCCUCCGAGUUGUCCUCCUGAGAUGCAGAAGGCCUGGCGGUGGUGCCUCAGUUCCCACUCACACCUUAAUGGUCCUUCCUGAACUCCGCUACAUACAAGGAAGGGUUUUACAUGGUUUACACGCUUGAUUAAUUUAAUCUCCUAGCACCACCCUUAAGAGGUAGGAAGGAUCACUAUUCCCAUUUUACAGAUGCUGCAACAGGUCAGGUCCUUGACCCAUGUUAGAGGCAGUGAGUAGAUCAGUCAGGAUUUGAACCUGUGACUUCUGGUCAUAGAGAUUAUGCUCUUCAGCAGUCUGUGCUGUUUCAUGUGUUUGCAGAACAGGACGCUGGGGUAAGGGUCUCUUAUGGACCCACAUAAAAGGAAAAUUCCUCGGCUCAUACUAAUAAACCACCGAGAGCACACAUUGUGUAUUUCUCAGCUGGUAGUUUCUGGUCCCUCACAGAAAGCCCACUGCAAGUCAAGAAGGGAUGCUGCAAUUUGCUUCCUCCUGUAGGUUUUCUGUUAUGUAUACUCUCCCCAUAGCCAUGCUUAGCUUUUCCUCUUUGAGACCAGGAUCUAAACACUGCACAUAAAUAUUAGCUUACAUAUGGUUCCCUCAAAAGAAAAAAACAAUCAAAUCCUUUUCUAUGUUUGUCCUUUGGCUGGUGUAUUUUUCUACACACUUCCAAGAAUGUUGUAACAAACCUCUCUAAAAAUUGUGUUCUUUAUAUGAAACAUCAUUGUGUUAAGAAACUUAAUAUUAUCCACACUGAAAUUUGCACACUUGGGAGAGAAAAACAAGACUGUGGUUCGAACCAGGGAUGAUAAAAUAUUCAGAUUCCAGUUAACACCAACAAUAGAAUGGUUCUGCUUUUAAACUGUUAAUAUUUUUCUUAAUGUUGUUCUGUCAGAUUUCAUUAAUUCACAUGAUUUGUUACAUGUCAAAGAUGAAUGGGGGACAUGCAGAGAAGUUCAUGACUGUUGUCACUUUAUAGGGCUGGAUUUGUAAGACAAGACCAGCAGUGGCUUCUCAUUUUCUUGUAGGCAGCCAGCCUGUACCCCCAAACAGGAAUGUCCUUAGAGAAUGGCUCUUAGCCAAACACUGGGUAUCCCGAGGAGUAGUGACUGGUGAAAUUACUAAGAGUUGUGAUAUAAAAGCUUAAACAAUCUAGUAGGUGUUAUUCUUGUAUGAAAAUGUAAUUUUUUAUAGGUGUUUGUAUAUGUUACUUAACUACUUACUAGGUAAAUGGCAAGAGUUAUAGAGUUAUAUUAAGUAGCAAAAGAUAAAGAACACCUCCCUUCAAACUAUGUGCCUCCCUGACCAAAUGACAACUUUAUUAACCUACUACUUUAAGACUUAUGUUGCAAAUGAAUUCCAGGCCAUUCCUUAGAGUCAGAAUACCUCUGCCUUGUACUCAUGCUCUUUGAAUGAUACCUAUUCAAAGAAAUCAAAUAUGCUGUGCUUUUAAUCUUUGAGUAAUAAAGAUGACACAGUGACCUGUUUUUAGAAUGAGUCGUCCUUAGCUCCGAGUCCCUGGAUCUUUUCUGGCCCCACCAACAGAUGAGCCAACUUGUGGUCAGAAGCUGGUCUGAAGGAUGUGCCUGAGAAUGGGGCAUUCCUCUUUCUUUUCUCCCUCUGUUUGCUCCACAAUCAUCAGUUAAAGGCUCCUGCCACAUAACCACGUCUGUGUGCCGACUCCGGCUCUGCACUGAGGGAGCCCCACGGGGCAAUCCAAGUCACUGUAUUUUCCUCUCAGCAUUCUAAACACCAUUUGAAAACAACACAGUGGUUGCAUAGUAGUUCAGACAGUUCCCCUCCUGGGAGAAGAGAGGUCACAUGGUACAGCCGACCAGGAUCCACCCUUCCUAGCUCUGCUACUUCUUGAGAAAGUCACUCACCCCCUCCCUCUGGGAGAGAAGGUGUGAUUUGACGUCACAACUUGACUUCCUUCUAAUGUGCUUGUCCUCAGCGCCUGUCUCAAUCCCCCUGCGUGGGGCACGUGUGUGUUGCUCAAGUGAUAAAACAGAUGCAGUAGAAGGAGCGUUACAGAUUGAAGUCAUGUCCUUAUCUGCUUUUAAACACAUUCAUGGCACAUGUAAAGAAAUAUGUUAUAAGCACAAUAUUCUUUUACUUAACUCCCCCACUAAACAGUUUGGCAAUACUUGACCGAAACUGGCUUUCUUCAUGCCAAGAAUUCUGGGGUGAGGUUGAACUCUUUGUAUUCAGUUGCCCCCGUUGAGUUUUUCUGCUCUUUAUUCCAUAUGCCACCCGUCAGGGUUUUUUGGUUUAUAUUAAGUAUCACAUUUCUGAGUCAUAAAAGAACAUAAAGUUUUUGCUAUAAAGAAACAACGAUGAUAUGGUAUUUUCAUUCAUUUUGCUAUUUUUAAAAGUCUAUACUAGGAUACUUUUUUAAGUGUGCUGUGGUGGACAUGAUGCAAAGUCCAGUUUCUAUUACAAUCAUUUCAGAAAAUGUAUGGUUUUCAAGAAGACAAAUAUACAGUAAGGUUUGUGAGUAGCAGGGGAGUAAUAUUUUACACCUACUGGGAAGCAGAGUUGUUUCUUACUGCACCAAAUACAAGAGUGGAAUGAUGUGACUACUGACGAUAGAAGUUAGAUGACUUCAGCCGUUUGUGAAUGACGGAUGAAUUACUCCUGCGGAUCUUCCUUUGUAAACCAUUUUUUGUGUGUUUUGUGUCCUCUAAAAUUUGGGUAAAUGGCCCUUGUUGAGUUUUUAGGUUCAGCUUUAUCUUUUAGAUAAUCAGAACAAAACUAACAUUUUGAGAAGCUGCUCCAUGCCAGGUGCCUUCUGCUAUGCUACCUAAUUAGUCCCCAUGUGUAGGUCAUAUGGCCGCCAUUUUCACACAAUGAAACUUAGAGUUCAUUCCCUUUCUGUGCCGCCUCUCCUCCUGACUCCCACGUCUUUCUCAGCUGAUCUCUCAAUUCUAUCUUGAGAUCAAGCUGGUCUUUAGAACAUGGGAGAUGUCAGUGACAUGAGCCUGGAGGCCUUCAUGAUCCCCCAAAGCCUGCGGUUUGUUGUUUUUAAUGUCACAUCCUAACUAUUCCCAUUGAUAUCCGAGAGGCCUGCCUGACAUCCACUGAUCAGCAAUAAAAUUUUCCUUAAUCUGUUUUUGUAGGAGCUCCUUUAGACUUUUGUGGUAAAGCUAUCAACUUAGUUUAUAAUCAUUUUUAGUCAUGGUGGUUCCAAGAGAAAGAUUCUCACCACAGCCAAAUAAGCAUGAUGCCCAGUGAAGUUUCAUGUUUCUGCCUCUGGUUAUAGCAUUCCUUGUACUCUACCCUUCAACCUUUGCACAAAGAAUUUUAUGGGGGAAAGGAAAGGUUAAAGUCCAUGACUUUCACAUUCCAGGAGGUUAUUUCCAACACUAAACAACUUUACUUCUGUGCUUGUUUCCAGAAAAGAAACUCUCAGCUUCAUUUUUACGUUUCUGGGGCCAAAAGCAGUAUGCAAGUAGAAAUACAAAGUAAUAACUGGACAGAGUUUUUAAAAAGACCAAACCUCAGAUAAGACUAAAAGAAAUAGUAGAUAAAUGAGUUCAUUCUCAGUGGAACUCCCUUCAGUUUGUUUUCCUGUGUUGCUGAACUGACUCAUGAAACCAAAGUCUAGAAGCCCACAGGGCCUUACCUUAAGCUGAUUAAAAUCAUAAUACCUUACAUUUCUGCAGAGCUUUAUGGUUUUCAGAACACAUUCAUUUUUGCUAUAAUUAUCCUAUAUCAUCUAUUCUAACUUAUUACAUAUUAUUUUUCUCCAAGAAAUAAACCAGAGGAUUGUGGUUUAUAUUCCAGGGAUCAUCCCUGUUGUACCUCAGGGAGCUUAAUACAAUCAAUAGUGAUAACUACUCUUUUCUUUAAAAACCUUCUUGGUCCUAGUAGCAGUGAGCGCACCCAGCACUCGGAUCUUGGUUUCACACCAUUCUCUGCUAAAAGGAACCAGGGCUCCUCUAAACAGUCACUGUGUAUGCUUUUUGACAAUUGGGAAAAUCAAUCAAGCUAGUGUUGAACAAUGACUGUUUAUGUAGCUUUCUUACUUUUAAACAUCAGCUGUACCUCUGCCGACAGACAGGACUUCCUGCUCCUUGCCUGCUGUCACGUUCGUACUGUACAGAUAACAUCAAAAGUAAAGCCCCAUGUUAAGCACAUUUGGCCUAUUAGGUUAGUAAUCAGGUUAUUAAAAAAUAAGUAAAUAAAAAUAUCAAUGCUCAUUACCUAAAGACACUGUGUCAAUAAGACAUCAAUCUUUUUCAAGCAGACAGGAUAUUUUGAGUCCAUUUAAUACUUGUGUCAUCCUGUCAAUGAGAGCUGUCUCAAAGUGGGAUGAAUUUGCCUUGUGACAAAGUGGGUUUCCCAUCAUUCCAACUGUCUGGGAAGAAGGGCUUCAGGAAGCUAAUCAGUACCAGGUCCCUUUGGUAACUCUGGAAUCGAAACACUAGCUUGAUUGAUUUUCCUAAUUGUCAAAAAGCAUAUGCAGUGACUUCAAGAGAAAAGGCAAUUUCCAUUGGUUUAUGGCACUCAAAAUUGGUUGUAGUUAUUACUUGCAGUUUUAAAACAUGCAGUUAACAUUUAAUCGUGUCAUCUGGUUAAUCCCUAAAUAUUGCCACGUACGGCACAAAGCUGUCAGGCCUAACAUCAUAUGAGAAUAAUAAACGCACACAGGCUUUGGAUGGUUAUUCCUGAGUUUGCUUUUUAAAUAUGCCUCUUUGCUUUUUGUUUUUUUAACUAAGUGGGAUUUUCAAGGGAGAGAUGAAGGGAGGACAGGUUCUGCCUGACUUAGCCAACAUCUGUGCCCUCUGGGCAUGUAUGCCCUGUGGCAUAUGAGUUCCCACCCCGGAGUGUAUUUUACAUUUGUGACUUGUGAGGCAGCCCCUCAGAUAUAUUAAAUAUUAAAAGAUAAGAUGAUUUAAAACUACUAGCAUGCCAAGCAGAACUGUGCUGUUCGAGGUAAAUCGGAUGACUUUGGAUGGGUUGCUCAAAUGUUUAGAAAUAGAGAUCAUCUUUAUUUCCCUCUUGUUCUUGGGCCUGUCCUGUUGCCCUCUGCCUCCUUACUCUGCUUUGGUUUCUUUUUUUCCUAGCACAUAGUUACUUCCUGACAUAAUGUAACCUGUAUUAUUUCACGUAUUGGUUUGUGGUCUGUGCCCUCCAAGAAGCUGUCUGCCCCGUGACAGGAGGGGCACUGUUCUGAGCACGGCCAUAUCCCCAGCGCCUGCAAUAGGCAGUCAGUAAACAUAAAGAUGAAAAUAUACUUACCAGGUGGAAUAUUUCUUGUGCCAUAAAAAACUGGUGAUUAUUAGAAGAGGGCGGGUUUUUACUCACCUUGUCUGAGUUUUAUAUCACAUAAAUACUUCGAAGGGUUUUGUGGGCCCGAAUAUUUUUCCAAAGCUCUUUUCUAAUGUAAAAGAAAAAAAUAUAUAUAUAUAGUGAACGUGCUUGUUCACUCUGACUUCGUGGCAUCGAGUCUGCCCAGCUGUCGGGAUAUCCAGUUUGCCUUGGUCCUCCUGCCGCUCGUCCUAGCUUCCCCUCCCCGCCGUGCCCACACCGGGACCCCAGCUUUGCUGGCCUCAAUCUGUUUCUGGUCCCAGAGUCUUCAUCAGCAGGUAGAACGGAGCCAGGGCUCCUCAGUGAAUGCUGUCCAUUUCGCUACCCAACGUAUUUUGUGUUCUUGGUGGAGCUUUUCCUCUAAACAGCACCUAUAUUUAUUACAUUGUAUGUAACCAGUGUUCUACAAGGUAGAAUAAAAUAGAUCAUUCCUUGUGUUCUAGAAUUCCUGUAAUGCAAGACCAAGUCAGUGUGGUGAAUGAAUAGUUAUUUAAGAAACAGGCGUUAAAGUGGAAAAUGCUUUCUCUACUAUGGGAGGUCAGAGAUAAAUACUGCAACUUGACUGAUGGGCUUUGUUAGUAGUGGGCUUUGUUAGUAGCGGGCUUUGUUAAAGGAGGUGAGGCAACUCUUGGGGCUUCCUUCAAGUAGGACCAACUCUAACCUCUCCCUGGGGUCCAGUGGUCCCUGAGGCCUUGGCCUUCGACACCACCUCUCUCUGACGUCUCUUCCUCCUGCCAGCUGCCUUGUGUGCGUUGGCUUCCAGGACCAUUUGCUUUUAGCCACACCACCUUUGCCUAAGACUGAAGGCGCUCUCCUGAAUUCUGUCUUUGGUCAAAACGUAACACUUUAAUACCCUUAGGUUAGUGACCGGUAGAUAAUGUGAUAGAAUAAAAAAGGCAUUGUUAGUUGUUGAUGACGUUAAUUCAUUUAAGCUUAGUGAAUGUUUAUUGAAUACUGCUAACCAGGCACUUCAGGGACACAGAAAUAAGCAGGUAUAAUGUAGAGAUCCCACAUCUAUGUGAGAGGUUCCUGUCAGAUUUACAAAAGGCAGCCCCCUCUGGGAGGUGGAAUUGUGGAAAGGUGCCCACUCGGGGGCUUGCACCAGAACACAGGCUGGGGGCCUGCAGGGUUCCUGGGUUUCAGCCACUCCUGCUCCCAGCCAGCCACCUUUGUACUGGGCACAGACUGGACAAGCAGGUGAGGCAGUAUGGAAGGGGGUGUGCUGACGGUACAGACCUAAGUAAACAUGACAAGAUGCUGAGCCUCGGGAAAGCUCUCUACAUACCUGUUAUGUUAAUGGGCACAACAUCUGGGACUCUGCAGCCUGAUUUCCCCAGAUGCUCUAACCAAAAUAUACCCAAUCUAAUCCCAGAGACAGGUAGCAUUCGGUAACAAUCAGAGGCACCCACCUCUUGGAAGAGCCACUCAGAUGCUCUUUGCUUAUAAAAAUACAAGGUCAGUAUUUCAAUGAUACAAAUAAACAAAAGAGAAAAGAUGUGGGUGUUAUAAGUGGAAUGCCUUUAUGGAAAGAGCAAUUUUUUUUUUUUUUAAUUUCUAAAUAAAUAGCCUUUGGAGCACUGAGAAUAAGUAAUUUCUGUGAUCAAACACACCAAAUAGAUAACUGCAUACUACCGUACUAGAAACUGAGGAGCAUUUUAUAUAAUUUUUACAGUGUAGGGUAAUAGAAACUACAUGGCAUAUUGAUUUCCUUUUUUUUUUUUUUUUAAAGAUUUUAUUUAUUUUUCCACAGAGAGAGAGAGAGACAGUGAGAGAGGGAACACAAGCAGGGGGAGUGGGAGAGGGAGAAGCAGGCUUCCCGCGGAGCAGGCAGCCCGAUGCAGGGCUCGAUCCCAGGACCCUGGGAUCAUGACCUGAGCCGAAGGCAGUCGCUUAACCGACUGAGCCACCCAGGCGCCCUGGCGUAUUGAUUUCUUUACACCAGUAAAAGGAAGUCAGCCUUUACCAGGAAAUGACAGAUCUUUUUCUUCUGUAAAACUUAACCCGGAAGUAUCUACUAUCCUUGGAUUUUUUUUUUUUUUUCCUAUUUCAUUGUCAAUGUUCCACUGACUAAAUUCAACAGCAUAAUUUUUGCUAGCAAAGAGGAUGAAAAGCCUGUGGAGAAGUAACUUUUAAACAGAAUUUUAACUUUUUUUUUUUUUUUCAGAAUUUUCACUUUUAACCUGUCAAUGUGUACUACAUUAUAUAUAAAAUGUAUACACACACACACACAUAUAUGGCACUUUUCAUUCCGGUACAAUGCCUUGCUUGCGAGUGAGUAUUGAUUAUCAAACAACUGUCUAGAAGGGGUGGGUAGAGAACCCCUUUAGACGAAAGGCCAUGGCACUGUGUGUUCACUGGUGCUCAGAGCAGAGCACCUCUUACUAAACCCUGGGUAUCACAAGUUCCUCCCCAAAUGAUUUCAGAUAGUGUGCGUGCAGGAAGGAGAUUUGCUAUGCAGAAAAGGUCAUGGGAAAAUGACAUAAUGGAAGUCACAAUGCAAGUUGGUUAGAUGCGGACACAUACAGUAUCUGUAAGGCACGAACAUUAAUCUGCAGCGUGGCCCUAGAGAAACUGAGUAACUCUGUGUGCCAAGCUUUUAAAUGGUCUCAUCAGGAUUUGACCUAGGCCAUCAUAUUUUCAAAGCCCUUGGGAUGCCCACUGCAUCUGCCGGCUCACGGCGCUCCUCCCCUGCCCUCGUGGAGCUAUAGACUCUCGAUACGCUUUUUUGUUGCAGUUUACUUUUGGUGAGUGGUGCUCACUUUGGUCGUCUUCUCUGAAUCCCGGGAAGCUGUCAUUUUCUACUUGCCAUGUAGAUGUGAUGGAGCCCUCUGCCAUUUGUGUAGUCAUCUGAGACAGCAUCUCUGAAGUCUGGCUUUAUUUGAGAUAUGAGAGCCUUUUUGUUCCCAAGUAAAUAACUUGUAGUAGACUCAUUCCAGGAAGGACACCAGCAAUUCCACUUUUAGAUUAUAUCAACUGUAACUACGUUCUAAAGGAAUGCAGAUAAUAUUCCUUCAGCUCUUUUUGAUUGCUUAAUGGAAAUGUUAUAAAAUCUACUUUAAAGAUGGUCAUUAUAGAUGCUGUUCUUAACAUGUGGUUACAAAUGUGUGCUGUUGGCAGUGGCUAAAAACAGGUUAGAAAAGCAGAUGUCAUUUCUCCAAAGCUCUUGAUCUAGAUUCUUAGCUUGACACCCCAAGGCAUCAAGCUUCAAGUGUGUAGCAAAUUAGAAGCCCUGAGUUUCUUAGGCAGGACUGGGUUCCGAGGGACACUGGUGCAUUUCCAUCUAGCGAGCAUACCAAUAAAAGGCAAAAUAAUAAUAGUAGUGGCAGAAAUUUAGAGCAGAUUUUAGUGGAACAGUUGAAACUGGCAUUCGCUAACCAACUCUUGUUUGAAAUGCUGCCAGAGAGCAUAGAGACAGGAAAAUGUCUCUUGGUUUAAUUGGAUCAUUUCCUGAAAGAUCGUUUUACAAGAUAUCUUCCAGUGUUUAUUUGAGGCUUUUCAACUAUCUCUAAGAGAAACUUUUUCCUUUUGAUUAUUAUGUAACAUUACUAAUAACGAAACUAGAUCAAGGAACGAUCAAGCCAAAACCCAAUUUUCUUUUACUUAAUAGUUCAUCUUGACAUUAAAGUUUUUUUUUAAAUAGAAUAAUCCCUUUUUUUUUUUUUAAGAUUUUAUUUUAUUUAUUUAUUUGACAGAGAGAGACACAGCGAGAGAGGGAACACAAGCAGGGGGAGUGGGAGAGGGAGAAGCAGGCUCCCCGCAGAGCAGGGAGCCCGAUGCGGGACUCGAUCCCAGGACCCUGGGAUCAUGACCUGAGCCGAAGGCAGUCGCUUAACCAACUGAGCCACCCAGGCGCCCUAGAAUAAUCCCUUCUUAAUCUCAGAGUGUUCACCUCUCAAAUAUUUGAAUAACAUUAUCAAGUUCUUUUUCUACCUCAUCACACAAGGUAUGGAAUAUCAAGUAACACGUGUGUUGUUUUUUAAUCUUUCUCCUUACAGAACUAAAGGUAUGUUUAGUUUGAUUAAGCCAUAGGGUCAGGAGGAUGGCUAAACUCCACUAUGUUUUCCCUUCAAUCGGUCUAAAGAAAACAGAGCUUUAAAAAAUUCUCAAAAUCCUAAAUCACACGCUCAAAAUAAUUGGAAUUCUGGCCCCUUGUUCCCCACUGUCUUCCGUUCCAUGCACAUGCUUUUUUCACUUCAGGAUAGGAAUUUUGUCAAAACACCACAGUGGCCUCACAUACUGAUUUUCCUGAGAUAACUAGUUGGGUAUUAAGCAGUUACGACUAAUUUCUACUGCUUUGAUAUUUCUGGAUUUGAGUGGCAGGGCAAGAGUAACAGCAACAGCAACAACAACAAGCACGAGAGCGGUACGAGUAACUACUUCUAGAAACAUCCGUGCAGUGUGUUUGCUGUCCCAGAUGCUGUGCUCAGCUCGGCGCCCUGCUCGGCAGGGUCCUGCGGCGCUUACUGCCCAGGGUCACACCAGAGCAACGGAACCAUGACUCACAUUCAGGUGUUUGGCACCUGAGUUGCUUGUCACAAAUACACUGAUGCUCAAGGAGGAUACCGUUGGGUUCCCAGAGCAAGCUUUCCUGGGGACAGAUGUUGGCGUAUGCUAACUAGCAUUGAUAAGGUAUCAACUGGCUUACAUGUCGUAAAGUGGUUCUGUAGCAAAAUCAGAUUUGUUGAGUGAGAACGCGUGCAUGCCCAGCAAGGUGGGGUACUUUACAACACACUCAUUGGCAGCAACCUUCCUGUCUGGCAUGGCGUAACAGGAACAAAUGAGGAAAGCAUGUCAUGGAACCAGACUUAGAAUUUAGUGGCUCCAGGAUUAUGACAUAGUUUCAAUAAUAGAGGUAAAUGGCAACGGGGAAUAAUAGCCAAGUGAAUAGAAUCCCUAAUCUUUGGCUUGUUUGCAUAUUUACUCAACGUGGCCUCUGAAUUAGCUGAGAGCUUUUUGGAAGAAAGAAAUGGAAGAGACAGGAGCACCUGCGUUCUCAAGGCUCAGACCUCCCUUUUGUAAAUGCACUGAUUUUUGAAGAGGGUGUGUAUGUGUUUAAUGUGUGGGUGUGUUUGUUUAAGGAAGACAUGGAGCUUCAAAAGGCAAACUGUUUUGUAACCCAGAAGUGUAAUUGUAAAUGGAGUUAUUACAUCUGACGAUGAAGUUAACAUAAACCAAUUUGGAAACAGAUCGCAUAUGUGGGGCUCCACUGGCUGGAUCAGCUUCUUUCCCGCAGGAAGCUCAGAUGCUCUGUGUCAAUCCAUUCGGCCACCCUGUAGACAGAAGCUUCUAUUUGACCAGAGACUGAUAGUAACACAGCCUAGGGGGCAGUCAGGUUUUUUCAGUUCAAAGGAAGAAAGGAAUUUCACUUUCUGGCUGAUACUGUGGUUUGCCCAGGAACUGAUUGUAGAUAGUGGGAAUCCACCUUUAGAAAAAGGUGUGGGUAACCACAGCCUUGUAGCAGAGAAAAACUUCAAAGUGGAGAAGGUGAGCAAUACAGUUGCCCUAGGCUUGGGAGAGACAGAUCUGGAAUGAGAGUUCUGAUCUCGUAAAAUUCACUUUAGACUUUUCAAACUGCCAGGCCAGCCUUUGUACUGUAAUUCUUCAUCAGGCUGAGCUGCAUUUGGCACAUAUAAUUAU